rnacentral:rRNA from 1 species
AUGGCGCCCUCCAAGCUCGCCCUCUUCCUCGCCCUGAACCUGGUCCUCCUUGCCGCCGCGCAUGGCUGCGAGCCCUACUGCCCACCGGUCGUCCCUACCCUGCCGAUCCUCCCACCGUCCGUGCCGUCGACUGGCGGGGGCAGCUGCUCGAUCAACACGCUAAAGCUGGGCGUGUGCGCCAAUGUGCUGAACCUGCUGAAGCUCAAGAUCGGCGUGCCGGCGAACGAGGAGUGUUGCCCGCUCCUGGCCGGGCUCGCUGACCUCGACGCGGCCGUGUGCCUCUGCACCGCCAUCAACGCCAACAUCCUUGGCAUCAAGCUGAACGUCCCCAUCGACCUCGUCCUCCUCAACCAGUGCGGCAAGAAGUGCCCCUCCGACUUCACGUGCCACAUCUGA